rnacentral:rRNA from 1 species
AGUGAACGCUGGCGGUAGGCCUAACACAUGCAAGUCGAACGGCAGCACAGUAAGAGCUUGCUCUUACGGGUGGCGAGUGGCGGACGGGUGAGGAAUACAUCGGAAUCUACUUUUUCGUGGGGGAUAACGUAGGGAAACUUACGCUAAUACCGCAUACGACCUACGGGUGAAAGCAGGGGAUCUUCGGACCUUGCGCGAUUGAAUGAGCCGAUGUCGGAUUAGCUAGUUGGCGGGGUAAGGGCCCACCAAGGCGACGAUCCGUAGCUGGUCUGAGAGGAUGAUCAGCCACACUGGAACUGAGACACAGUCCAGACUCCUACGGGAGGCAGCAGUGGGGAAUAUUGGACAAUGGGCGCAAGCCUGAUCCAGCCAUACCGCGUGGGUGAAGAAGGCCUUCGGGUUGUAAAGCCCUUUUGUUGGGAAAGAAAAGCAGCAGGUUAAUACCCCGCUGUUCUGACGGUACCCAAAGAAUAAGCACCGGCUAACUUCGUG